UACGUAGGGCGCAAGCGUUGUCCGGAAUUAUUGGGCGUAAAGAGCUCGUAGGCGGUUUGUCGCGUCUGCCGUGAAAACCCGAGGCUUAACCUCGUGGCUUGCGGUGGAUACGGGCAGACUAGAGUUCGGCAGGGGAGACUGGAAUUCCUGGUGUAGCGGUGAAAUGCGCAGAUAUCAGGAGGAACACCGGUGGCGAAGGCGGGUCUCUGGGCCGAUACUGACGCUGAGGAGCGAAAGCGUGGGGAGCGAACAGG
rnacentral:rRNA from 1 species